AAGUCGUAACAAGGUAACCGUAGGUGAACCUGCGGUUGGAUCAUUAAUAAAUGUUUCUAACACUAAGGGGUUCUUAGUCGGGCUUCGGUCGGACUCUGAAUCCCUUUACACCCAUACCUGUGAAUUGUUAUUGAAUGGACUCGUGUCGACUUGGCUUUGGUCAAGAAGACACCAGUUCCAACCACUUUAAACAUACAAAGACCUUUUUUUGAAAAGGAAAUGAACCGAGGAGCAAUCCAAGGGAAAUUGACUAAUUAAAGAAAAACAACUUUUGACAACGGAUCUCUUGGCUCUC
rnacentral:misc_RNA from 1 species